rfam:Hoeflea olei strain JC234 contig_1, whole genome shotgun sequence.
UGCCGGCUUUCCAACAGCCGGGGUUACUGAAGAGGCACACCUUCAUUGCCGGACGUGCGGUCGGGAUCUCCCUCCAAUCCAAGGCAGACAUGAGCGGAUCAUUGCCAUUCAGGCUGUGGUCCAUCGACGCAUCAAGCGUCCGCGCCGUUG